AAAAUUGCCUCACAUACUUACCAUGAUCACUAAGGUGGUUUUCCCAGAGCAAGUCUUAUUCAUUGUACCCUGGGUAUGCUGACCCCUGCAACUUUCCAAAUAUGGGAAAUUUGACUGCAUAAUUUGUGGUUGCAGGGGGCUAUGUUCUUUCUUUCCCAUG
rnacentral:snRNA from 1 species